rnacentral:lncRNA from 1 species
UGAUAGCACAUAGUCAAGUUUACAGACACGAUAUAUAAUACGUAUGUUAUAUUAUAUAAUAGUAUAAAUAUUAUAUAUUUUAUUAAUUUUAUUAUAUCUAUACUAUCUGUAGAACAGAAGUCAAUCUGCAAAGGAUAACAAUUUCUCAUAGCAAAGUUGAAAUGGUAAUAAAGUAAUAAAAGGAUUUAAAAUCAUCAUCAUUACCAUCAUCUGAAACUGAAACAUGAGCAUUUUAGGUUAGAAAUACUUAAACAUUUCUCACAGUGAGGACUGCUAAAUAUAUAGAACCUCUCUUUUUAGAGGUCUAUACAAGUAGAAAAGAUACCAAUUUGUUAGAAAUGAUUUAGUUGCAGUACUUUCUGGAAACUAGAUAAUGAUCUCUAAGGAUCAUUAUCCCUAGAAUAUCUCAGUUCAUUUUUAAUUAAAUGUUUAUAUAUACAAAAGUUUAUCUUUAACAGCUGAUAUUUCAAAAAUCAACUUAUGCAAUAUUGAACUUUUUUUGCCUUGUUAGUACGGAGUUCAUACUCAAUUUAUAUGGAGCUACAAUAAGUCAAAAUCGGAAAAAAAUCAAAGAUUCAGCUUUUGCAAAACAAGAGAGAUGCUUUUAUUUGAUAAAAAACUUAAAGUCAGUAUAUUAUUCAAAGAGUCAUACUUCUUAUUAAAUUUAGUAAAAUAAACAUGAUACCCUUUGGGAAAGUACAUAUGAUACUAUUGUUUUGCCACACAAAAAAGUUUUAUACAAAAUGCUUUAGUAGUUAUUGAUACUAAUAGAUAGUAAUCCUUAAUUAUGUAAGUUAUUUCCUACAACUUUUGCAAAAAGGGUCUCAGUCAUGAUCUCAGGGUCAUGGGAUCCACUGCAUUGGCAGCAGGCUCUGUGCUCAGCAGGGAGUCUAUUUCCCCUCUCCCUCUCUCUCUGCCCCUCCCUCUGCUCAGUUAAAUAAAUAAAUCAUCAGGAAAAAAAAAGAAUUUUCCUUUCCAAUCAGAAUUGUAAUCAUACAACUCGAAUGUAAAAACAAUAUUCUUCAGACACUACUUAGCAAUAAAAAUGACUUAAGAUAAACUGCAUUUUUUUACUUAGAUUUCAGAAGUUUCAUACUGUUUGUGUGUGGCUGUUCCUCUGAGUUGUCUGUUAAGAGUAGAAUUAAUACAAAUAUAUCCAACAACUAAAAGUCUCAAUAUAAAAAUACAUUAAGAGAUAUAAAAAUAUAAUAAAAGAGAAACAAAAUAUUAUGAUAUUCAUCCUUACUUGGUUGCUAAAAUAUAGAAUAGGAAAGCAUUUAAUGGAUUCUUGGUAUUAUAUGGUUCUCAAUAGUAAUUAAAAUAUAAUAAUGAGAAAAAAUAAUUCAGAUUUCCACUUAGUAUAAACUCUUUAAGGAAAAUAUUUCACAUAUUUGAUAAGGCAGCAUUGCAAAGAAAGACACAUUCUUGGAAAUCUCACUGGAAAAAAGAGAAAGAAACUGAUAACAGAGGCUAGAAAACAAAAAGCAGAAUGAAGUACCUAGCUUAAAGUCACAUUGGUAGUUAAUUACUAAUCUGAUAGUAGAUAAAAUGCUAUCCUAUUAAUACUAAUUUGUGAUUGAAUAAUCAUGAGUUACAUAUUUUACAUAUUUUGUAGCUGCAGGAUAAAAUUAUUAUUAAGAUUCAAAAUAUGGAUAAUUGCAUUAAGAUUCAAAAUAUGGAUAAUUACAAUAAUGAUUUCAAUUGUAAUAUAAAACCGGUUUAUGAAAACAGAUUACAAAGAGAGAAAAUGAGUAAAUAAUAAAGUUUGUAAGAUAGAUACAUGCAAAAAAUGUGUCAAAAAAUUUCAACAAAACCUAUUAUACAAGUGUAUUCUUAUGCGAAGAAACACUGUGUAGCUCCUGUCACUGACCAGAGGGCAACAGCAAGACAUCCCGAACCCAAGGAAUAAAAACUAAUUACAAAACUUUGCAUCAAGGACUGAUAUGGCAGCAUCAGAAAAUGCCAUCAGAAAAAGCACAAUUUUCAGACAACACACAAAAUAGAAAUGAUCACCUUAUAUAAGUAUCCCUACACCUGGUAAAGUGGUCUAUUAAUAAGGGAAUUGCCUGGAAAUGUUCUAUCAAAACACAACUAAAGUCACCUCUAAUAGAUGGACCUUCUGAUAAAUUCAUGAACCGGAGGGAACUCCGUACUGAAUGUAUGUGUUUAUGGGGAUGCAGUUAAGGAACAGACUUAUAAAUGGGCCCCUAAAAACUGAAACUCUAUAUCCUUUGUGGAUUGUUUCUGGGACUCCUAAAAAACAACACUUGUUUAAUAAAUAUGAACACAGAAAUAAUUAUAUAAUGGUUAUUUUUGAUGUAUUAUCUGUAUAUAUCUUAUUAUUCCUAAAUUGUAUUCUUUAGUGCAUACUGUACUAAGUAUUUCCAGUAACUGGUGGUUCAACCCAAAGCCAUAAAAUCCUAGAUUAAACAUUUUCAUUGACCAUUCUGGGUUCGGUCAGUGUAGGGUUAUAGGAAAGUAUUAAAAGUUAAUCUUCAAGGAAGAUUGACGCACCUUCAAAAUUAGUGGCAGUUCAAAUAGGACAUUUCACAUAGUGAAGAAAGACGAUACAAAAAAAAAAAAAAACCCGUAUUUGUCUGAAAGUAAUGCUUUUAAAAUUACCAUUAUUUUUAUAUUAGGAAUCUCUGUAUGUAUGAUCUGAUCCUUAAUGAGUCCCACAUCAUAGGAAGGUAGGCCCAAGGAACACGCUAUACCCCUUGGUUCACAGUAUCAUCAAAUUCCGUAUGUGACAUGGCCAAUGAUAGAUGACUCCAAAGAAAAUGCAGAAGCUCCAUAAUUCAUACAAUUUAAUAAUGCUAAACCACAGGGAAAUUCCUUUUCAACUAAAGUUUAUGCAGUAAUCCCUGGAAGCAGAAUUCUUACUCUAUCCUAACUAUAGAUACAAUUUUAUUUUAUAUAAACCUUUCAUCUCUUAAAAUAUUUUGUCUUAAUAAUAUUAGAGUAGCUCUCAAGGCUCAAAGGUCUGCUUUAAUCUUUCUAAGCAACAUUCUAUUCCCAAAUGGUGAAUUUAACUCAGAUCUACAGAAAACUCUACCCUAGUAACAACAACAACAAAAAUUACAAAGAAAGAAAAGCCAGAAGUGCUUUAAAGGCAAAUACAAUUAUAAAGUAUCAACUGUGAAACACAAUAUAUAUAAUACAUUAAGUCACAUUUUUAACCCUAUAACCACUCUAGGCAUUUACAGCAUUUCAUGAUAGAUUGCAUUGUUAACUUCUAGAUAUA